rnacentral:rRNA from 1 species
CCUACGGGAGGCAGCAGUGGGGAAUAUUGCACAAUGGGGGGAACCCUGCUGCGGCAAUGCCGCGUGGGUGAAGAAGCACUCCGGUGCGUAAAGCCCUGUCAGCAGGGAAGAAAAUGACAGUACCUGGACAAGAAGCCCCGGCUAACUAAGUGCCAGCAGCCGCGGGAAUACGUAGGGGGCAAGCGUUAUCCGGAUUUAAUGGGGGUAAAGGGAGCGCAGGCGGCGUGGCAAGUCAGAUGGGAAAACCCGGGGCCCAACCCCGGGAGUGCUUUUGAAACUGAGUAGCUAGAGUGCAGGAGAGGUAAGCGGAAUUCCUAGUGUAGCGGUGAAAUGCGUAGAUAUUAGGAGGAACACCAGUGGCGAAGGCGGCUUACUGGACUGUAACUGACGUUGAGGCUCGAAAGCGUGGGGAGCAAACAGGAGUAGAUACCCUAGUAGUC